UGCCUACAUCAGUUUUCAUGUGUGCACCCCCUCUGGUGUCUAUCAGUGCAGAAGCAGCCCUACAGAGCAGAGCCAUAUAAAACCGUUCGCUGGGGAAAGGCCCCAGAGAUGGGGAUGUGGUUAGUCUGGUGCACGGCUGCCCUGUGCUUCUUGGGAGCAAGACACACAGAUGCUAAAAUCACCCAGAUACCAAGUCUGGUACUGAAGAAAGGACAGACAGCCCAGCUGAAAUGCAGCCAAACUGAUGAUCAUAACUCUAUGUACUGGUAUCAGCAGCAGCAGGGGAAGGGGCUGCAGCUGAUCUAUUACUCUCUUGGUAAAGAUAACCAGGAAGAUGGUGACAGUGACAUUAAAAAUGAUUUCACAGCCUCCCGGCCACAGAUUGAAAUCUUUGACUUGAACAUCACCUCUGUGAAGAUGGAGCACUCGGCUGUGUAUUUCUGUGCCAGCAGUUUAGACACAGCGCUUCAGAGUCACCCCCUCCUUCUACAAAAACCUCCCCCCUCCAAGAGACCUUCUCCUCCCAUCUCCACAUAACAGGGAGAUCAGGCUGCUCUCAUGCAGAGAGGAACAGCCUAUUAUGCAUAGAAAUACCAGCAAAGUGCUGCUGGGGGAGAAGGGAAUCAAAGGCAGAGCAGCUCCCUUAAGUAUGGGUUAUUUCGCAAACCAUAUCCCCCCCUUGGUGUUCACCUGGCUAGUCCCUUCUUCAAGAUGUCACAGUUGCGAUCAUGCAGUUCCCAUCAUGCAGGCAUGAAUCAGGGCAAAUAGAAAUCAUAACUUUGUAUUCCAAAAACCCAAUACUCUCCCUAGGGCCGUUCUCAUAGCCAACAGAGCAGAGGUACCCAAACUUUUCUUAUUGUGUACUCCCUUACACACAGAGGUGGAUUAACAUUUUGUGGGGCCCUGGGCCACAGCAAGUGGGGGCCCCUCCCCACCCCUUCCACCUACAGUCCCUCCUCCAUUCCCCCCCGGUGCUCCUGCUGGGAAGCGGGGUCGGGGUGCGGGGACUUGCCUUGCUCUGCCCACCCGGCACUCCUGUAGGGAGCAGGGGAAUCCCCAGUGCCCUGACCCUGUGUUCUUCUUAACACUACUUGUCUUUAGCCAUCUGUCGCUAUUUCACUGUUAUGUACAGAGAUACUUAUAGUGCAAUGUACACAGUUGAAAAAAACCCAACAACCCUGACUAAGUUCUGUGCUCAGUUAGACUAGACAAUUGCUAGGCAACUGAACCUGUGCUGUACAGUGAUUGGAGGUGAGGGCACUAUACAUCAGUGUUCCUGUGUAUCUGAAUUAUCGCUGGUGCAUCUUGAAGUAAAUUAAUUACCGUAUUUUAUGUAACAAAUUCCUACAGAGUUUUAAAGCUUCGUCUGAGUAGCCUAUUAUGAAAAUGCAAUAAAUAAAAGAA